rnacentral:rRNA from 1 species
AGCGAACGUUAGCGGCGCGCCUAACACAUGCAAGUCGCACGAGAAAGGGAGCAAUCCCCGGUACAGUGGCGCACGGGUGAGUAACGCGUAGAUGAUGUGCCGUGUUGUGGUGGAUAACCCGUCGAAAGAUGGGCUAAUACAGCAUGUUCCUGUGCACCGGGAGGUGUUCAGGCAAAGAGGGCCUCUGUAUACAAGCUCUCGCAACACGAUCAGUCUGCGUCCCAUCAGCUAGUUGGUGAGGUAACGGCCCACCAAGGCCAAAAGACCGGGUUAAGCUGGUCUGAGAGGAUGACCAGCCACACUGGAACUGAGACACGGUCCAGACUCCUACGGGAGGCAGCAGUGGGGAAUCUUGCGCAAUGGACGAAAGUCUGACGCAGCGACGCCGCGUGGGCGACGAAGGCCUCGG